rfam:Brachypodium distachyon strain Bd21 chromosome 2, whole genome shotgun sequence.
AUUCUACUCCCUCCAUCCAACAAAGGAUGUCUCAAGUUUGUCAAAAUUUGGAUGCAUUCAAAUUUAGUCAAAGUUGAGACAUCCUUUGUUGGACGGAGGGAGUAGACA